UACGAGGGGGGCAAGCGUUGUUCGGAAUUAUUGGGCGUAAAGGGCGCGUAGGCGGUGCGGUAAGUCACCUGUGAAAACUCUGGGCUCAACUCAGAGCCUGCAGGCGAAACUGCCGUGCUGGAGUGUGGGAGAGGUGCGUGGAAUUCCCGGUGUAGCAGUGAAAUGCGUAGAUAUCGGGAGGAACACCUGUGGCGAAAGCGGCGCACUGGACCACAACUGACGCUGAGGCGCGAAAGCUAGGGGAGCAAACAGG
rnacentral:rRNA from 1 species